AUAAGUCUUAUAAAAUAUAUAGAUUUAUGAUAAUUAAGACUGAGCUAACAGAUGAGAAGUCCUAGUCAUUGGCCAAGCAGCAUUUGUACCUAAUAUAAGUCUCCACUAUACUUAGGGGCCCUAACUUGGCGGGCAGAUCUCCGGUGGCUGGCGGGAAGCGCCCACGUGGCUCAGGUGGCUUUUGGCGGAAAGAUUUAUAGUAACAGUAGGUCUCUGUGGCUUAAAAGCUUGUGUCUUUCAUAAGCCUGUAGUUCAGAGCUUGUAAAAGGUGGCUAUGAAGGCAGUCUGAUGCAACCAGAAGUUGUGACAACCUUUACACAGGUUGUUUCUCUAGGUAUAAAGUGAAGAACCAGUCAAUAAAAUCUGCACAUUCAUUCUUCAUCACAGAGUCCUACAGGUAGCUGUAGAUAGAGCAGCAGACCCAGGGUCAGACAACUGGGGUCCUAGAGUAGAGUCCACCAUGCUAGUAUGAUGACCUUAGGCAAAUGAUGUAUCUUUUAUAGAACACAGUCACCCUAAAUUCCCUCUUCCCACUUAGAAUCCUUGGGUUCUGUAAUUCCAGCCUUAAUGAGGCUAUACUGUUACUAUCAUUGCCUGGCACACAGCAAGCACUGUAUAAACAUUAGUUGUUACUGCUUUGUAAAGGUGUACCUUCAAAUCCAAAGGUGAAUUCUUACCUAUUAUAGCAAUCAAUGAUAUAUGAACCAACUUCUGAACAAGACAUGACUUAAGGAAUGAAAACUGAAGUCUGUUGACCUAAGAACAAAUGGAUAAAAUGUUUUGUUUAUUUUAGUGGAUGUCAAUGGUAGUUCUCUGAUAUAAAAAUGCAUAGUUCACAUAGAGAACUUGUGGUUCAAUAACAGCUGUUUUGUACCAUGAUGUAGAUAUCUUUCUCUCCUGAAAAUCAUGGAGAAAAUUGGAACUCAGAAAUCAGAACUUGGAGUUCCCAAACAUCAAGACUCUUUUGAUGGAUGACUGACACUAUAGACAUCUAAAAAGAUCAUCCGCUCAAAGGAAACACAUGCUUUUGGCAGCCUAAUUUUUCAAACAGAAAAUCAAGCAUCAGUCAGUUGUACCUAAUCCUUUGGUACGGACACUGCCUCAUUAAUCAUCUGAGAGAGCCUAUAAGAGCGGUUCGGAGUGACACGGCGCCCGGUGAAAGGCUGCAGGCCAGGAGCAAGAAACGGAGCAAGAAGGUUGGGAUUAAAUCCAUCUCGCCAACGGUGUCUCCAAAGUUUCACCAAGUCCCGGGCGCGCAGGGAAAGGGCGUCUCCUGGGGGACGCGGGGACGCCAGUGGCGCUCGAGUGAGAAGGUGGGGGACCUAGGGAGCUGAACGAGGAGCCACUGGGGAGUCCGAGGAGGCAAGGCAGCGGCUGCGAGGCUGGCGUGCUGGAGUGGAGCGGGCUCGCGGCUGCAGGGCUUUUCGGGGUUGGGGAGUGGACGCUGGCGGCCGAGGGGAGGGACGCACUGGCCGCCGGAGGGAGGGCGGCUCGACCCGCCAGAGAUGGAAUUACAAUCUAGUGGAAGAGCGAGGGGCAGGGUCUGAAUCAAUUCACUCCUCGCCCACCUCCAGAGCAGACAGUCCCCAGCUCAGCCCUUCCCCGCGGGUGACCUAGAUUGGGGGCCUGGGUGGGACCGCCUUCGACACCCCGCGGGAGUUCGUAGAUUCAAGCUGCGAACUCAGGGACCUCGGCUGGGUCCUGACCCUGAACUCAGGGUGCCUCGGUUCCACUGGCUGGACUUCUCUUCACCCCCGCCCCUCUAUGUCGCUUGCACCCAGUUUAAGUCACUUUUCUUAACACCUCAAAGGUUACUCUACUCUGUCUGGCGCUCCAGAGGAAGCGCAAGGGAGGGGCUGUUAUUUGCAAGUAGGGACAAGGCGGGCAGGGCUGGCCAAGUCUGGGGUGCUAAGAAGAUAAAUGGGAUUUAAGGCGCGCAGAUGGAGAGCUGAGGCUUGGCCACUCAGAUGCAAAGGCUAAAUGGAGAUUAGGGACUGGUGACUAGGGAACAGGUACCCUCAUGGUGGCGGAUGGCAACUUUAGACCCUCCAGAAAAGGAAAUCAAACUCCCAGCUAAUCCUGGCAACUCUGUAAAGGGGGCGUUUGCCGGCCUGGCUGGGGUUGGGGAAUAGGAACAAGGAGGGGCCAGCACUUAGCUCCCCAGCUAAGGACAGACCUCCUUCUCCUCUUCCCUCCAGAAGUGCGCGGCUGGCUGGAGUUCCCAGUAUUGCCCCAACAGGGUGCCAGCUCCAGUGCAAACUGACAUUCUGACUUCCAGGCCCUCCUGGAAGCAGAUACAAUAAAUAAACUAAGAGGAAUGCACUAAAAAGGAAAACGGCCCUCGCCAAAUCCCGGGGAAAGAUCAAAGGCCCUGGAAGCGCCCCACAGAUGGAAACUGCGGUCACUGACUGUGGUCCGCGGGUGAUCGCCACACCCCACCUGGCAGAGCAGCAUCCUGCUCCUUCUUGUUAACCUUUCCUUAGGAGAGCCAGAGUGUUGACUGACGUCCCCGCCCCUGAUUUCUACUCUUGAUCCCAUCUGAACCUAAUCCUUUUAGCAAGGCCUCACCUUUGAGUCAUGUUUUACUUCUGAGGGCCUCUACAGACCCUGGGUCCUGGGCCACAGACAAAACUUUCUUCAUGGGGACUGUAACACAUGUGAGAGCUGCCAAAUUAAACAUGCAAGAAAGAGACACAAGCUGCCAUCUUCUCGACAGCACAGAGAUCUGGUGUAAGAACGGGUUGCAGAUGUUGGGGAAUGCUUCAAGGACAUCCAGCCUCCCAUAGCUGCUAGCCACAUGUGGCAUAGCAAAGCAAGGAGGCCCAAAGUUGUCACAUAAUACCCUGUCUCUUCCUAAAGUGACAAAGCUGAGUCCACCCUAGACUGAAACCCCAGAAGCACUGAGAUGACAAUCAAGACCCGAGGCCAAGUCAAAGAACCAAAUCACUCACUCCCUACAUGGACUUGGAAUAAUGAUGAAUCAAAGACUGAAUCUUAAGACAGCGAAAGACCUUCCAAAAUGGCAAUGAGAUAAUAGGUAAGGGUUCUCCCGGGUAGGAAAAGUGACUGGGCCAUUCAAAUGGGGGUGUGCACACAGAACACAGAACACACCUACAACUGGCAGGAGACACUAUCGAGUCCUGGCUGCUGCUGAGAACACUAGGCCCACUCAGAUUUUCCAACAGCUUUAGUGCCUCUUAAUUCAUCCAGUAUGUCUUAAUUUCAUGUUCUCUGCCCUUCUGUGUUGUUUGUUACUUUUUAUAGGGCCCUGGAUGAGUCACAUUGCUUCUCUGACAUAGUUUUCCUAGGCUAAACCGAUGGCACACAAUAUCUUUCCCAACUGGCACAUUCUUGUGUCCCUGUUAGGGUAAGGUUGUCUCGGGCACAUCCUCCUUGAUUUUGUCUAGACUGCAACAAUGUGUCCCAGGAGAGGCUACUAAGGCACUCUCUUGGUUCUGAGUUGCAGGAAUAGAUUAGAGUGUUUAUGAGUGCAUGAUCAUAGAUAAAUUAUCCACAAUGACAUUUAGAACAUGGAGAUGGUUCUUAUGUGUUUAUUUGGUGAAUAAGAGGAUGGUCUUAAUAAUUCUCUGUCUCUAAGCUCUUUUGUAAUGUUGAACUUAAUUAUACAUGUAUUCAUGUAUAUCAUUCAAACUAUCUUCCUUCACUGGGGUGAAAAGCAGACUGUGGCAAUAGAAAAGUUGUACUUAAUAGGGAGUAACAAAGUGUGUGCGUGUGUGUGUGUGUGUGUGUGUGUGUGUGUGUGUGUGUGUGUGUGUGUGUGUGAUAUAAAACACAAUACAUAUGUAUAUAUUGUCCCAUUAUGUGUAUAUGUAUGUAUACCUCAUGUAUUUAUAUAUAUUAUUGUUCUUUGUGGACCUAUGUGUGCAUGUAGAUGUAUUAUGCAUUCCUGGGCUUUCUCUAACCAAAGAGAACAAGAACAUAUAUGGAAGGAACUUAGGACAAAGAAAAGACAAUGAAAGCAGGAAAACAUAAUAGAACUGGAAAAGGGAACAGACGUGGAUGAUGUAGAAUAUUGUCACAUAUGUCCUGUACAGUUAUUUCACAUUUGACUGCAUGUUUUCAAAUUUGCAUGUUGCCACAUUUUCAUGACAAAAUAAGUAGAUAAAUGAAACUAACAGUACAAGCUGAUGAAUCUUCACUGGUGCACCCUUUUUUAAAAAUUCUGAAUAAUUUGUAUUUGAGUCACACAGAAGAAAAGUUAAUUUAAUUAAUUUAUAAAGAUAUCAUUUAAAAAGAACUGUGUUCAUCUGAUGUCACGUGUUCAAGGCGGGGUAUGAUUAACAAUUAUCACUGAAUUCUCUUAGGAGUGCCCAUCUUUAAGAAAUAUGAAUUGAUACAAAAGAUUAAUUUGGAAAAUGACUAGGAUUAUUUUUUUGCUUAAAAUAAAAUAAAAAACACAUUGUAAUUUC